rnacentral:antisense_RNA from 1 species
UUUCAUGGCCGGGCCUUGGCAAGGGAGCGCUUGCGCUCGCCGGUUUCCUUUGUCACCGGUACGCCAACCUCGCCUUGUGCCCGGCCACCCGU